AUUGAACGCUGGCGGCAGGCUUAACACAUGCAAGUCGAGCGGAGACGAGGUGCUUGCACCUUAUCUUAGCGGCGGACGGGUGAGUAAUGCUUAGGAAUCUGCCUAUUAGUGGGGGACAACAUUCCGAAAGGAAUGCUAAUACCGCAUACGUCCUACGGGAGAAAGCAGGGGAUCUUCGGACCUUGCGCUAAUAGAUGAGCCUAAGUCGGAUUAGCUAGUUGGUGGGGUAAAGGCCUACCGAGGCGACGAUCUGUAGCGGGUCUGAGAGGAUGAUCCGCCACACUGGGACUGAGACACGGCCCAGACUCCUACGGGAGGCAGCAGUGGGGAAUAUUGGACAAUGGGGGGAACCCUGAUCCAGCCAUGCCGCGUGUGUGAAGAAGGCCUUAUGGUUGUAAAGCACUUUAAGCGAGGAGGAGGCUACUGAGACUAAUACUCUUGGAUAGUGGACGUUACUCGCAGAAUAAGCACCGGCUAACUCUGUGCCAGCAGCCGCCGUAAGAC
rnacentral:rRNA from 1 species